UCAACACCCCUGUUUAAGCAACUCCACUAGCUGCUGAUAACAUUCCGGGGCCAAUUCAAGGUGCAGAUCAUUACUUAUAAAGCUCUAAAUGGUUCGGGACCUGCCUAUCUUCGUGACCGCGUGUUCCCCUAUGAACCUAUGCGAUCUCUAAGAUCUUCUGGGGAGGCUCUCCUCUCGCUUCCAUCUUCCUUACAGUGACAUCAUCACAGAGGGCCACUCCGCCUAGCAACAGCCGAUCCUUCAACCUGUCGCCAGGCAAUGCAGUGACGUCAUCGCAGAGGGCCUAUUCGCCUAGCAACAGGCAAUGCAGUGACAUCACCACACAAGGCCCAGUUCGCCUAGCAACAGCCAAUCUAGUGACGGAACCGGAAGCCAGCUUCCCUGGGGCCGCUCUAGGCGUUGCAAGUUUUCUCUGAUCUUAACCGUUGAGGUGGCAUUUGGUUUUUUUUUCUCCCUCCCCUGUGGCAAGGAAUGGAACAGUCCGCCUAGUGCGAGAAAAGGAAGGAAGGAUCCAACUAUUCUGCAAAACGAGGGGGGCAUCAUUUUUUCAAACAAAUAUUGUUACAAAUCUGAUUAAUCUAUGGGUGAUACAGAUAGAUAGAUAGAUAGAUAGAUAGAUAGAUAGAUAGAUAGAUAGAUAGAUAGAUAGAUAGAUAGAUAGAUAGAUAGAUAGAUAGAUAGAUAGAUAGAUAGAUAGAUAUUGGUUGGGAUUUCCCAAGCUCUAGCCUAAGUUACUGGACUCCAUUUCCCAGAAGCCUCAGCUACCUUGGCCCAUGAUCAGGGAUUCUGGGUAAUGGAGUCCACUUAACUUGAAAGUCUAGAGAUAGGAAAGUGUUAGGUAGGUAGAUAGAUGAUAGAUAGAUAUUGGUUGGGAUUUCCCAAGCGCUAGCCUAAGUUACUGGACUCAAUUUCCCAGAAGCCUCAGUUACCUUGGCCCAUGAUCAGGGAUUCUGGGUAAUGGAGUCCACCUAACUUGAAAGUCUAGAGAUAGGAAAGUGUUAGAGGUACCCAAACGUAGAUAGUUUACUACCUUUCAGAAUACAGUAUUUAUUUAUUUACCUUAUUUAUACCCCGCAUUUCUCCACACCAGAGGGGGACUCAAGGCGGCUUACAAAUGGCACUUAUACAGUGCCACAAAACACACAAAUUAAGCAUAAGGGGCCUGCUUGAUAUCGCUAGGGAGGGAGUUCCACAGUCGAGGGGCCACCACUGAGAAGGCCCUGUCUUGUCCUCGCCAUUCGCGCUUGUGAAGAAGGUGGGAUCGAGAGCAGGGCCUCCCCAGAUGAUCUUAAUCUCUGAGGUGGUUCAUAGGGGGAGAUCCGUUCAGAAAGGUAAGCUGGGCAGGAGUCGUUUAGGGCUUUAUAGGCUAAAGUCAGUACUUUGAAUUGUGCUUGGAUGCAAAUUCGCAGCCAGUUGGAGCUUCCGGACAAUCUUCAAAGGCAACCCCACAUAGAGUGUGUCUAUACGAGAUAUAACCAGAGCAUGAACCUGACUUCCCAAGGUACAGGAGCAGUUGUUAUUACUACUACUAAUGAUGAUGAUGAUGAUGAUGAUAUACUCGUUGCUCCCCUGAAAAUCUACCUUCUUGAAGAGAAGUAAACAACAACAGAAAGAGACAGUAACAAAUCUGCAUUAUUUUAUGUAUCUAUUUAUUUUAUUUUAUUUAUUACACUUAUUUAUAUCCCAUUGUUUCCCUCCAUAAGUAGACUCAAAGCGGCCCUAUCUGUCUAUAUAUCUAUCUAUAUAUAUCUGUGUGUACGUGUGUAUAUGUACCUGUAUAUAUCUAUAAGGUAAAAGUAAAGGUAAAGGUUUUCCCCUGACAUUAAGUCCAGUCGUAUCCGACUCUGGGGGCUGGUGCUCAUCUCCAUUUCUAAGCCGAAGAGCCGCCGUUGUCCGUAGACACCUCCAAGGUCAUGUGGCCAUAGGCAUGGCUGCAUGGAGCGCUGUUACCUUCCCGCUGGAGUGGCACCUAUUGAUCUACUCACAUUUGCAUGUUUUCGAACUGCUAGGUUGGCUCAUUCCGCUCCCUAGAUCUGAACCUUCGACUUUCUGGUCCACAAGUUCAGCAGCUCAAUGCUUUAACAUGCUGCACCACCAGGGCCCCUGUAUAUAUAUCUAUAUGUGCCUAUAUAUCUAUAUGGGUAUCUAUAUGUACCUGUGUGUGUGUGUACCUCAUGUCCAAAGCAUUGAAUAAAUAAAUAUAAAACCGAUAAAAAAAAAAAAACACAAGCAGCUAAAUGGUUUUAGACCAGAAACAGGCAACAGUGACUGCAUUGUCUGCAGUUUUCAACAAUUCUUCCUCUGUGCAUGAGGCAGGGCAUUGUGGGCAAGCAUACAGAUGCGGAGUUGUCUUAUCUGCUCCACAGUUGCACAAAGUGGAGGAUUCUUCUGGGUUGUGCCGUUUUGCCAGGUUGUCUUUCGAUCUCCCAACUCUGCUUCUGUUCAGGGACUUCCAUGUUGCCAUUCUUGGUUUGCCCCUGGAGGAAGACCCUCAUGGGUCGUGGGCGGCCAUCCAGUUGGGAUUGCCCGGUUUAGCUGCCCAGAGGGAUACUCUUGCUGUUGCUGGGGAAACAUUAAGAGGAGUGGUGGUUCUCAUGAAACUUUUCCUUGAUUUGCGGCUACUGGGAGGCUGAUAGUCAUGCAGUGGGUGGCUUUCACGGUGUUCAACCUUAUUGUGACGGUGCGAGUGGCGCCAUCUGUAUGUCGAACUGUAAGUUGCAAGAUUUGAGUUGUAUCAUUCCUGAUUUUGCCUUUACCCUGUAAAUAUAAUUGGAUUGAUUGGUUAUUUGUAGCUGUCAAUCAAUGUUGUUUGCACCUGUUAUAUUGCUUACUCAGCUCAAUUGUUUGACUCCAUCCUUUUCUGGAGUGGGUCAGUGUUUUUCAUUCCACCAUCAAGCUCUCUAUCAGAUGGACGUGAGAGAGAGAGACUUGGCUCUAAAAGCCCUUGAUUAAGUUACCACUCAGCACCAAUUCUGAGGUUCUUACCCUUGAGACUUAUGCUUCAUGUUCAGGGCCAACCUGAAUGACGUGGAGUCUCAAGCGCCUUCAAAUCAUUCUUUUGGCAACAGAGGAAGACUGUGUCUUCAAACAUAGGCCAUUUAGACUGAGGCUGAGGUUUGCUCCGACAUUCUCAGCCAUUGAGAAAGAGGGACCUGGAAAGGCUUCUCAGCUACAGAGCUCCUUGGACUUAAAACAACCAAAGACUGUAAUGUAUAUUUUCCUUUACCCCUUUGAAACUUCCAGCUUAUUGGGAUAACCUUUUGUGAACAAUAAAACCAGUUUUUGAGUUAUCUACA